rnacentral:tRNA from 1 species
GGUGCUGUGGCUCAAGUGGUAGAGCACUAGCCUUGAGCACAAAAGAGGCUCAGGGAUGGCUUGCCUUGCAUGCAUGAGGCCCUGGGUUCAAUUCCUCAGCACCA